GGUUAAGCGACUAAGCGUACACGGUGGAUGCCCUGGCAGUCAGAGGCGAUGAAGGACGUGCUAAUCUGCGAUAAGCGUCGGUGAGGUGAUAUGAACCGUUAUAACCGGCGAUUUCCGAAUGGGGAAACCCAGUGUGUUUCGACACACUAUCAUUAACUGAAUCCAUAGGUUAAUGAGGCGAACCGGGGGAACUGAAACAUCUAAGUACCCCGAGGAAAAGAAAUCAACCGAGAUUCCCCCAGUAGCGGCGAGCGAACGGGGAGCAGCCCAGAGCCUGAAUCAGUGUGUGUGUUAGUGGAAGCGUCUGGAAAGGCGUGCGAUACAGGGUGACAGCCCCGUACACAAAAAUGCACAUACUGUGAGCUCGAUGAGUAGGGCGGGACACGUGGUAUCCUGUCUGAAUAUGGGGGGACCAUCCUCCAAGGCUAAAUACUCCUGACUGACCGAUAGUGAACCAGUACCGUGAGGGAAAGGCGAAAAGAACCCCGGCGAGGGGAGUGAAAAAGAACCUGAAACCGUGUACGUACAAGCAGUGGGAGCCUCUUAAUGGGGUGACUGCGUACCUUUUGUAUAAUGGGUCAGCGACUUAUAUUCUGUAGCAAGGUUAACCGAAUAGGGGAGCCGAAGGGAAACCGAGUCUUAACUGGGCGUUAAGUUGCAGGGUAUAGACCCGAAACCCGGUGAUCUAGCCAUGGGCAGGUUGAAGGUUGGGUAACACUAACUGGAGGACCGAACCGACUAAUGUUGAAAAAUUAGCGGAUGACUUGUGGCUGGGGGUGAAAGGCCAAUCAAACCGGGAGAUAGCUGGUUCUCCCCGAAAGCUAUUUAGGUAGCGCCUCGUGAAUUCAUCUCCGGGGGUAGAGCACUGUUUCGGCAAGGGGGUCAUCCCGACUUACCAACCCGAUGCAAACUGCGAAUACCGGAGAAUGUUAUCACGGGAGACACACGGCGGGUGCUAACGUCCGUCGUGAAGAGGGAAACAACCCAGACCGCCAGCUAAGGUCCCAAAGUCAUGGUUAAGUGGGAAACGAUGUGGGAAGGCCCAGACAGCCAGGAUGUUGGCUUAGAAGCAGCCAUCAUUUAAAGAAAGCGUAAUAGCUCACUGGUCGAGUCGGCCUGCGCGGAAGAUGUAACGGGGCUAAACCAUGCACCGAAGCUGCGGCAGCGACACUAUGUGUUGUUGGGUAGGGGAGCGUUCUGUAAGCCUGUGAAGGUGUACUGUGAGGUAUGCUGGAGGUAUCAGAAGUGCGAAUGCUGACAUAAGUAACGAUAAAGCGGGUGAAAAGCCCGCUCGCCGGAAGACCAAGGGUUCCUGUCCAACGUUAAUCGGGGCAGGGUGAGUCGACCCCUAAGGCGAGGCCGAAAGGCGUAGUCGAUGGGAAACAGGUUAAUAUUCCUGUACUUGGUGUUACUGCGAAGGGGGGACGGAGAAGGCUAUGUUGGCCGGGCGACGGUUGUCCCGGUUUAAGCGUGUAGGCUGGUUUUCCAGGCAAAUCCGGAAAAUCAAGGCUGAGGCGUGAUGACGAGGCACUACGGUGCUGAAGCAACAAAUGCCCUGCUUCCAGGAAAAGCCUCUAAGCAUCAGGUAACAUCAAAUCGUACCCCAAACCGACACAGGUGGUCAGGUAGAGAAUACCAAGGCGCUUGAGAGAACUCGGGUGAAGGAACUAGGCAAAAUGGUGCCGUAACUUCGGGAGAAGGCACGCUGAUAUGUAGGUGAAGUCCCUCGCGGAUGGAGCUGAAAUCAGUCGAAGAUACCAGCUGGCUGCAACUGUUUAUUAAAAACACAGCACUGUGCAAACACGAAAGUGGACGUAUACGGUGUGACGCCUGCCCGGUGCCGGAAGGUUAAUUGAUGGGGUUAGCGGUAACGCGAAGCUCUUGAUCGAAGCCCCGGUAAACGGCGGCCGUAACUAUAACGGUCCUAAGGUAGCGAAAUUCCUUGUCGGGUAAGUUCCGACCUGCACGAAUGGCGUAAUGAUGGCCAGGCUGUCUCCACCCGAGACUCAGUGAAAUUGAACUCGCUGUGAAGAUGCAGUGUACCCGCGGCAAGACGGAAAGACCCCGUGAACCUUUACUAUAGCUUGACACUGAACAUUGAGCCUUGAUGUGUAGGAUAGGUGGGAGGCUUUGAAGUGUGGACGCCAGUCUGCAUGGAGCCGACCUUGAAAUACCACCCUUUAAUGUUUGAUGUUCUAACGUUGGCCCCUUACCGGGGUUGCGGACAGUGUCUGGUGGGUAGUUUGACUGGGGCGGUCUCCUCCUAAAGAGUAACGGAGGAGCACGAAGGUUGGCUAAUCCUGGUCGGACAUCAGGAGGUUAGUGCAAUGGCAUAAGCCAGCUUGACUGCGAGCGUGACGGCGCGAGCAGGUGCGAAAGCAGGUCAUAGUGAUCCGGUGGUUCUGAAUGGAAGGGCCAUCGCUCAACGGAUAAAAGGUACUCCGGGGAUAACAGGCUGAUACCGCCCAAGAGUUCAUAUCGACGGCGGUGUUUGGCACCUCGAUGUCGGCUCAUCACAUCCUGGGGCUGAAGUAGGUCCCAAGGGUAUGGCUGUUCGCCAUUUAAAGUGGUACGCGAGCUGGGUUUAGAACGUCGUGAGACAGUUCGGUCCCUAUCUGCCGUGGGCGCUGGAGAACUGAGGGGGGCUGCUCCUAGUACGAGAGGACCGGAGUGGACGCAUCACUGGUGUUCGGGUUGUCAUGCCAAUGGCACUGCCCGGUAGCUAAAUGCGGAAGAGAUAAGUGCUGAAAGCAUCUAAGCACGAAACUUGCCCCGAGAUGAGUUCUCCCUGACUCUUUAAGGGUCCUGAAGGAACGUUGAAGACGACGACGUUGAUAGGCCGGGUGUGUAAGCGCAGCGAUGCGUUGAGCUAACCGGUACUAAUGAACCGUGAGGCUUAACCUU
rnacentral:rRNA from 1 species